rnacentral:rRNA from 1 species
CCUACGGGAGACAGCAGUGAGGAAUAUUGGUCAAUGGACGCAAGUCUGAACCAGCCAUGCCGCGUGCAGGAAGACGGCUCUAUGAGUGGUAAACUGCUUUUGUACGAGGGUAAACGCAGAUACGCGUAUCUGUCUGAAAGUAUCGUACGAAUAAGGAACGGAUAACUCCGUGCCAGCAGCCGCGGUAAUACGGAGGAUUCAAGCGUUGGCCGGAUUUAUUGGGUUUAAAGGGGGCGUAGGCGGUCGGAUAAGUUAGAGGUGAAAUCCCGAGGCUCAACUUCGGAAUUGCCUCUGAUACUGUUCGGCUAGAGAGUAGUUGCGGUAGGCGGAAUGUAUGGUGUAGCGGUGAAAUGCUUAGAGAUCAUACAGAACACCGAUUGCGAAGGCAGCUUACCAAGCUACUUCUGACGUUGAGGCACGAAAGCGUGGGGAGCAAACAGGAUUAGAUACCCCAGUAGUC